GAUGAACGCUGGCGGCGUGCCUAAUAUAUGCAAGUCGAGCGAACGGACGAGAAGCUUGCUUCUCUGAUGUUAGCGGCGGACGGGUGAGUAACACGUGGAUAACCUACCUAUAAGACUGGGAUAACUUCGGGAAACCGGAGCUAAUACCGGAUAAUAUUUUGAACCGCAUGGUUCAAAAGUGAAAGACGGUCUUGCUGUCACUUAUAGAUGGAUCGGCGCUGCAUUAGCUAGUUGGUAAGGUAACGGCUUACCAAGGCAACGAUGCAUAGCCGACCUGAGAGGGUGAUCGGCCACACUGGAACUGAGACACGGUCCAGACUCCUACGGGAGGCAGCAGUAGGGAAUCUUCCGCAAUGGGCGAAAGCCUGACGGAGCAACGCCGCGUGAGUGAUGAAGGUCUUCGGAUCGUAAAACUCUGUUAUUAGGGAAGAACAUAUGUGUAAGUAACUGUGCACAUCUUGACGGUACCUAAUCAGAAAGCCACGGCUAACUACGUG
rnacentral:rRNA from 1 species